rnacentral:rRNA from 1 species
AUGGACGCGGGAGUCAAGCUGCCACGAACGACGAGUCAACAACACGUGCCGCUCGGGCACGCGACCACCGUGUCUCCCGUCAAUCCGGUCGCCCAUGAGAGGGACGAAUGCGAUCACGAGUUCAUGUCCACAUACUGGCAGUGGAGGAGGCGGAGGAGGGCUCAACACAAGGUGGAUCAUCCUUGCGUUGGGGUCGUCAACGGGGAGGAAUUGACCACUGGCAUGCAGCGGCUCAGGUCCGGAUUGCUGCGCGGCCAUGGGGCCAUGGCCAGGGUGAUCCACAAUGCCCGGGUCAACGAGUGCGUCGUUCUAGACCUCUACUCCUUCAGCACGCUGAUCCGGGGCUGCGGCCAGGUGAUCUGGAGCGUGCACGGAAGGUGUUCGAUGGUAAUGAGAGAAUCAAUCGGGCAGGAAUACCGGGAAGUCGUUGAAAGAAGGGUAUUCACUGUAACUGGUAAUCGCCUUGAUGAAGAGACAGGAAGAAGUGAGCAGAUUUUCAAAGAUGCAGUUCAGAAGCAGGGGAGAGCCCAGAUAUUGGAUACUGUUGUUGAGAUACAGGAGCGGCAUGAUGCUGUAAGAGAUCUAGAGAGGAAGCUUCUGGAGUUGCAGAAGAUAUUCCUGGAUAUGGCAGUGUUGGUUGAGGCUCAAGGAGACAUGAUCAGCCACAUAGAGACACAUGGUAGUGUUAGUACUCAACAAGUAAAAACACAAUUUGUGAUGCCGCCUCCACCGGUAGUGACAACACGAUCGCUGCAUUUGGUCUAUCCCGAGCCUCUGAUUGUGGUUGCUGUUCUUUCGAUAUCCGCUUGCCAUGAUAUUGUGGCUGGACUUCUGCAGCCAUGCCAACAACAGAGCCAGGCUUAG